rnacentral:misc_RNA from 1 species
GUUUUAAUCUAAAUCUUUCAAUUCUGGAUUGAUUGUCUGAAUUUUGAAAAUUUGUUAAAUUUUAUCCAAUUUUAACAUUGAAAAUGGGGGCAGAGUGCACUUUGCUUAUGUGGAUUCACAUGUGGUAUUUUUUAUUAUUUAUGGGUAGGUCCCACAUAACAAAUAAGAUUAAAAAAUAUAGGAUAAAAUUGUAAAAUGAAAAAUUACAUAAACCCUAAAUUAAAAAACUCUCUACAAAUUAGUUCCAUCUUUGCUUUUUUUUUUUUUUUAUGUUCAU